GGGCUUAGUGGGUAAUAAUUUGAUUUGAAUUCAAAUUUGGGGUGUUCGACUCGCCCGGAGUCUU
rnacentral:tRNA from 1 species